GCUCCGCUUUUCCUCCACAACCAUGUCUGACAAACCCGAUAUGGCUGAGAUCGAGAAAUUCGAUAAGUCGAAACUGAAGAAGACAGAGACUCAAGAGAAAAAUCCACUGCCUUCCAAAGAAACGACUGAACAGGAGAAGCAAGCAGGCAAAUCGUAGUGAGGCGUGCGCCGCCAAUAUGCACUGUAUAUUCCACAAGCAUUGCCUUCUUAUUUUACUUCUUUUAGCUGUUUAGCUUUGUAAGAUGCAAAGAGAUUGGAUCAAGUUUAAAUGACUGUGCUGCCCCUUUCACAUCAAAGAACUACGGACAACGAAGGCCGCGCCUGUCUCUCCCAUCUGUCUGGCUGGCUGGCAGGGAAGGAAAGAACUUGCAUGUUGGUGAAGGAAGAGGUGGGGUGGGAUGACAG
rnacentral:lncRNA from 1 species